rnacentral:tRNA from 1 species
CAAAAAAUAGUUUAAAUAAAAACUUUAAUUUUGGAGAUUAAAAUUAUAACCAAUUUUAUUUUUUUGA